UACGGGGGGGGCAAGCGUUGUUCGGAAUUACUGGGCGUAAAGGGCCAGUAGGCGGCCAACUAAGUCCGACGUGAAAUCCCAAGGCUUAACCUUGGAACUGCGUCGGAUACUGGAUGGCUUGAAUUCGGGAGAGGGAUGCAGAAUUCCAGGUGUAGCGGUGAAAUGCGUAGAUAUCUGGAGGAACACCGGUGGCGAAGGCGGAUCUCUGGGCCUGUUCUGACGCUGAGGCGCGAAAGCUAGGGGAGCGAACAGG
rnacentral:rRNA from 1 species